AUCCAGCUGACAUGUCCAAAAUAGGACGAAACGCGCUUCAAGCUGGAU
rnacentral:hammerhead_ribozyme from 1 species